rnacentral:rRNA from 1 species
UACGUAGGGUGCAAGCGUUGUCCGGAAUUAUUGGGCGUAAAGAGUUCGUAGGCGGUCUGUCGCGUCGAAUGUGAAAACCCGGGGCUCAACCCCGGGCCUGCAUUCGAUACUGGCAGACUAGAGUUCGGUAGGGGAGUCUGGAAUUCCUGGUGUAGCGGUGAAAUGCGCAGAUAUCAGGAGGAACACCGGUGGCGAAGGCGGGACUCUGGGCCGAUACUGACGCUAAGGAGCGAAAGCGUGGGGAGCGAACAGG